CGGUCGUUUUCGAGAACUUGGAGAGCUCAGUUGGUCACGAGAAGUCAGAAUGGGUAGACCCUGGGCAGAGCGACUCAAGAAUCCUCGAACUAGACCGUGUGGCGGCCAUCACCACGAACUUGAGCAGCUUUCCAUACCACCAGCGGGGACGAAGGAGGUGUGAUGACCAGGUGGAGGGACGUGAAUACAUCAGACCACGGGAGAGCUGUGAUUGCAGGGCCUGCAGCGCCGCCGCCUGACGAGUGAUGCUUCGGGCUGACGGCGGCGUAGACGAUAUGCGAGAGGCGAGGUCUAGGUUGUGGCGGCAAUGUUGACCAUCUUGUAAUAUAAAGGCAUUGCUAAAGCUGGUCGCUGGGGGCGUGGUCUUCUGUAAUCAAAGCCACCCAUACCCACCACUCUCGUCUCGGCGACUCUUAGCGGUGUCCCAUCGCUCGACUCUCCUACUGCUUUUCAUGGCAGUGGGGGCGUGUACGGGGAAGUGACGCGACGAGGGGCGUUUGAAUAGAGCAGCCCGGGUAUAUGAGGGGAAGGAUAUACAUGAUUCGAGUAGUAGAGGAAAC